AGAGUUUGAUCAUGGCUCAGGAAAAACGUAAGAGACGUGCCUAACACAUGCAAAUUUAAUAGUUAAUAUAACUAUAGUAAAUUGGUGAGUAAUAUAUGAAAAUUUAAUUUUAGAUUAGAAGUAUCACUAAUAACUUAGUGUGAAUCUCUGAUAUGCGCAAAUGUGCUUUAAAAAGUUAAUACUGUCUAUAAAAAAGUUCAUAUCUGAUUAGCUAGUUAGUAAGGUAAUGGCUUACUAAGGCGAAGAUCAGUAGCUGCCCUGAGAGGGGGACCAGCCACAUUGGGAUUGAAAUACAGCCCAAACUCCUACGGGAGGCUGCAGUGGGGAAUCUUCUGCAAUGAGCGCAAGCUUGACAGAGCGUCGUCACGUGAAGGAAGACAGCUUAUUAUAGUUGUAAACUUCUUUUGCUUAAAAGUGAAUAUUGACACUUAAGAAAAUAAAGUAUCGGCAAACUCCGUGCCAGCAGCCGCGGUAAAACGGGGGAUACAAACGUUAUCCGGAAUUACUGGGCGUAAAGCGUAUGUAGGUGGUUUGAAUAUAUUUUUAUAUAAAUAAAACUAUAUUUAUGUUUUUUUUAAAAAAAUUAUUAAACUAGAGUCUGUUAGGGGUAAAAGGAAUUUUUUGAGGAGUGGUGAAAUGCGAAGAUACAAAAAAGAAGACCAAAAGCGAAGGCAUUUUACUAGAGCAGUACUAACACUGAGAUACGAAAGUUAAGGUAGCGAAUGGGAUUAGAUACCCCAGUAGUCUUAACUGUAAACGAUGGAUACUCGGAAUUAAAUAUAAUUAAUAUUUAGUUCCUU
rnacentral:rRNA from 1 species